AACGAACGCUGGCGGCAUGCCUAACACAUGCAAGUCGAACGAGACCUUCGGGUCUAGUGGCGCACGGGUGCGUAAGGCGGGGGAACCUGCCCUUAGGUUCGGAAUAACUCCCCGAAAGGGGUGCUAAUACCGGAUAAUGUCUUCGGACCAAAGAUUUAUCGCCUUUGGAUGGGCCCGCGUUGGAUUAGCUAGUUGGUAGGGUAAAAGCCUACCAAGGCGACGAUCCAUAGCUGGUCUGAGAGGAUGCUCAGCCACACUGGGACUGAGACACGGCCCAGACUCCUACGGGAGGCAGCAGUGGGGAAUAUUGGACAAUGGGCGAAAGCCUGAUCCAGCCAUGCCGCGUGAGUGAUGAAGGCCUUAGGGUUGUAAAGCUCUUUUACCCGGGAUGAUAAUGACAGUACCGGGAGAAUAAGCUCCGGCUAACUCCGUG
rnacentral:rRNA from 1 species